GCCCGUCUAGCUCAGUCGGUAGAACGCAAGGCUCUUAACCUUAUGUUCUUGGCUUAAGCCCCAGGGUGGGCA
rfam:Ipomoea nil DNA, scaffold: scaffold3056, cultivar: Tokyo-kokei standard.